GAGAGAAGAGAGCCUGAGGGCCCAGCGCACUUCUCACCAUGGAUUGGCUGCUUCGUCAGGUGCACAAGUGCAUGCAUAGCCUUUCAUCCAGCCAGCUGUGACCAAGGUGGAAAAGCUCAGCAGCACAUAUGCAGUAAGGAGGCUGCUCUCCUGUGACUCCCCUCGGAGGGGAUUAGUGUCUGGCACUGACAAGCGUGGCUGUCUUUCUUGUUGGAGGUACCUGACAAGGAGUGCUGUUCCAGGGCUUCUUCGCUUCUCUGUUUCUGUGGCCUUCCUGACAUUUAAAGGCUGAUGACAGGCUGCAUACUUCUGACUCAUGACAACAGUAAAGGAUAUGAAGCACAGGACUGACCUUCCAUUAACGAGGAAAAGCUGUUUGGUUGAGCUUACAAGGAAGACCUGGAGUCUGUUAUCUGUGCGCUAGUCAGAUUUCCAACAGCCACAGCUCACUGGCUCUGACUUAAGGCCCGGCAUUUCUGCCUUAAAAAUAAAAAGCGAUCAGCUGUGAAGACCGCACAGACGUGACUGUCCUGUGAACUCUGGUCUGCCAUCAGCCACACAGAUUUAACUCAUCCUCUCCCACCAUCUCCAGCUUCCAUCGGGUUUUCUGGUCCAACCUCUCCUUGGCUUUUUCCUCCCAUUGACCACCCUGCUGCCUUUAUUCUGGGCCAUUUCCCGGACCGAGCACAGCCUUCCUGGGCUGUCUUCCUCACCUCCACGCCCUCUUCCACCUGCAGAGGGGCUGCCUGGCUUUUUACACCGUGAGUCCUCUGCUGCGAGGAUGCCCUUUGCUCUUGCGGGAUCGGCCUUUGUACAGCCCUCAUGCACCUUGUCUCGCCUCCUGAGAUUCUGUCUGGAACCCUCUGUCACCUGGUCCCAGAAGGAACUUUGUCCCUGAAAGCUCAUCUACUGCACGAGGACUUGGCUGUUUUACACGGAGCUGCUACUCACCUGAUGCACAGGGGCACCGUGAGGAGCUCCCUUAAUCAGGAAACAAGGGAUGUAAACUCAUGCUCUGGCAGCUAACCUGAACACUGACACAAGGCAGAGAAGUCCUAAUCCAUCUGUAGUAGGAAGAGUAGUUUCCACACUUGCACAGUUGGAUUAUAACAAAGCUGAAACCCUAGGGGCCAGAUUUGUUUUGCAGUUCAGGUCGCUUUCCUGCAGCACAGUGAAUCUCGGUUACAAGGCUUGUGGGGUCCACCACGAAGGGGAGGUUCCGUGAAGGACACUCACCUUCUCCUCAUCAAGGCUCUGGUGCUGGCAGUGAGCCCUCAGUCCUCGAAGAAUUCCCAGAUGGCGCUGAUUCCCGAACACCAAGCAACCCCGUUGUGACAGUGCCCACCUGGAGAUAGAUCAGACUGCACAGGCUGGGAGUCAGGCUUCAAGACUGCAGCCUCAGUUUCCAAAACCAGUCCCAACCCUCAGCUUGUUUUCCCUGCUUCUGACAGAGUAGGUGUAAACGAACUCCCCACAUCCUUCUUGGCUCCCAUUAAUUUGCUGCAGAGGACCCAGCAACUAGAAACAGAACUCAGAGUAACCAUGAUGUUUACUGAUUUAUCAUAAAACACACAGAAGAGGAGAUGCACAGGGAGAGAUUUGUGGGGAGGCCAUGGAGUGUCUGGAAGCUCCGCGAAGCCUAUCCUUGAGGGGUUUUAUGGAAACUCGUAAUGUAGGUAUGAUCAAUUAAACCACAGGCUAUUGGGGAUCAGCUCAGCUUCUGGCCCUCUCCCCUCCCUGGAGGCUGAGGGAGAGGAAGUUAAAAGCUCCCCUCUGUGAUCCUGCUUUGUGUUCCUGGUGAUCAGCCCCCUUCCUGAAGCUACCUAGGAACUGCCCGCCGUGCCAUCUGUGGUUGGGUCAUUAGCAUGCAACAGACACUUAUCACUUGGAAGAGUCCAUGGACUUGAAGAGCAGCAUGCCAGGCAACAGAGUGAAGACAAAACAUCUCUUACAGCAUCACACCCACAAGUGCCCUGGGCAUUGCAGUUUAAAAUCUGUCACGCUGGGUGUGCUGAACUGCAGUGCUCCUGAAUAUUCUUGGUAAAGAAACUGUAGCCACCAUUUUUCAUCUUGAAGCCAAAGAUGAAAUCCCUAAAAGCCCAAAUCUCCUCAUUUGCUACCCUUAAAAAUAAAUUGGAAUUUCCUUAAGGGACUUUGGGUCCUCAAAGACUCAGGGAAAUUUCUGUAUUCAACUAUGAUCUAGUCUUUUUACAUUUUGGGACACAAACCUGAAGA